CCUACGGGAGGCAGCAGUGGGGAAUAUUGCACAAUGGGGGAAACCCUGAUGCAGCGACGCCGCGUGAGUGAAGAAGUAUUUCGGUAUGUAAAGCUCUGUCAGCAGGGAAGAAAGCAAUGACGGUACCUGACCACGAAGCCCCGGCUAACUACGUGCCAGCAGCCGCGGUAAUACGGAGGGGGCAAGCGUUAUCCGGAAUUACUGGGUGUAAAGGGAGCGUAGACGGCUGUGCAAGUCUGGAGUGAAAGGCGGGGGCUCAACCCCCGGACUGCUCUGGAAACUGUAUGGCUGGAGUGCAGGAGAGGUAAGCGGAAUUCCUAGUGUAGCGGUGAAAUGCGUAGAUAUUAGGAGGAACACCAGUGGCGAAGGCGGCUUACUGGACUGUAACUGACGUUGAGGCUCGAAAGCGUGGGGAGCAAACAGGAUUAGAUACCCCUGUAGUC
rnacentral:rRNA from 1 species